rnacentral:rRNA from 1 species
AUUGAACGCUGGCGGUAUGCUUAAGACAUGCAAGUCGAACGGUAACAGGUUAAGCUGACGAGUGGCGGACGAGUGAGUAACGCGUGGGAAUCUACCUUGUAGUGGGGGAUAAGCCAGGGAAACUUGGACUAAUACCGCAUACGCCCUAAGGGGGAAAGGCGCAAGUCGCUAUAAGAUGAGCCCGCGUCUGAUUAGGUAGUUGGUGGGGUAAAGGCCUACCAAGCCGACGAUCAGUAGCUGGUCUGAGAGGAUGAUCAGCCACGUCGGGACUGAGACACGGCCCGGACUCCUACGGGAGGCAGCAGUCGGGAAUAUUGGACAAUGGGGGAAACCCUCGAUCCAGCAAUACCGCGUGUGUGAAGAAGGCCUGCGGGUUGUAAAGCACUUUCAGUUGGGAAGAUAAUGACGUUACCAACAGAAGAAGCACCGGCUAACUCCGUG